AGAUAUCACAGAAGGAUCUUCUAGUCUGCAGGAUCAUGGUGAAGGACUUGGGAUUUUAUUGUGUUAACGUAUAUUCCCAUUUAUAGAAUUGAACCCAUAUUUGCCAAGUGUUCCUCCAGAAGGAGGCUAUAUACCGUAUCCAGGCUCAUGAGCAUGAAAGGAGGCCUCUCAUGCAACCAGAUUGAAACAGCGUCCCUCUUGGAGGCAGAAGAGAGGCUCUUUUAAGACUCAGGAACUAAACCAAAUGUGUGAGACACGUAACGGCAGAAGUCUCCGGAAGCUGCUAAAACUUACAAGAAUCACACUCCACACCCCACUCCAUCCCUGUUACAGGAGCAGUACCAAUUGAUCGGGAGAACCCCGGGAGAACUCCCGGUUGCCUGACAAGGAAACCUGAGACUUUGAAAAGACAAAAGUUACCUGUUGAUGACAGCUGGGAUGGUUGAGUGGGUUAAGGCACUUACCACCAUGCCUCAGUUUGAUUCUACGGAAGUCACACAGUGGAAGAGAAAGAUCCGAUUCUAGCAAAUCGUCCUCGACAUUCCUAUAUGCCAUGUGCCAUGAGCAUCUACACGCACACUCCCUCACUCAAAUAAAUACAUGUAAAAAAUAAUAAAUUAUUUCUUGGUGUGACUUCUGAACAUGGUAUAAAUAUUCUUAGUUUUCAUGUGAUUACAGGUGACUCUUGAGGAGUAUAAAUAAAUGCACAAAGUGGGCUUCACAUAAACCUCUGACUGAAUUAAUGUU